AUCACUUCAUGUCUACACGUUUUAUUUCUGAAUAAUCAAUUCUCUUUGUGGGGAAAUUCUUAUAAUUCCCAGCACAUACAACGGACCAAGUUCAUCGGUUUGGGCAUGUAAUCAUGUGGGCUGCUGAAAUAUGCCAGUUUCAGUGGGACAUACUCACAGAUCUGAAUUUGGAUAAACCAUUUAACACAGCUGCCUUUAUAAAUUCGACAAGCUUUACAUCAGCAAUCAAUUGGUUGAAGGAUUAAUUUCACUCGCAGCCGUUGAACUUUUCAUUUAUUAUCACUAUAGUCACUGAACUUUAUUCUUUUC
rnacentral:lncRNA from 1 species